AAUCCUAAUAACCUCAUUUGACCCUUCUCCAUGUUCUAGCUGUACUUUGAAGAUGAGGAGAAGGAGACAUUCUACCAAGUAAACCCAGAGAUGUCGCUUUUAAAAGUGUUGCAGCAUAAAAGGUUUUUUGUCAAGGCAGGCACUCCCAGCUUUAUUGUUCUGGUGAAGGGUUCAUCAUUCAGGAAGCAGUUUUUAACAGAAAAGAAAAUAAAAGGAUUGUAAAAACCUGCAAAUCUUGGGACUUUCAAUACAAUAAAUUCUCUUUUCAACCCCAAAAGACUGAAUUUCCCCUUGAAAAAGACAUGAUGAUGAGAAAUAUGUAUGUCUCUAGUGGUCAAGAGCAUGACACAUUGUUUGACACCAAAUAUCAAAAUAAAAUAAAUCAGAUAAGAUCUCUAAA